rnacentral:lncRNA from 1 species
GUGAGAAUGUGGUCACCUUGACACAGCAACCAUAUGAUUAAGGGCAUGGUCUAAAAUUUCCCUUUCAUUCCACAUGGCACAUGGAGGUUGGAAUGAUUUUACAUGUUUUCAUUUUUUGUUCUAUGUUUUAUUUUAAAACUACAUAAGCAGCCAUCUUUGGUUGAAAGUGAACACAUGCAGUGCCCUGUGUUUUUAGAACUACCACACGGCUCAGGAAUAAAGGCUGAGAUCUUCAUUUCCCUUUUGAAAGGAAGCAAGUCUUUCAAACCCAAGUUUGGUGACC